GGGAGGAGGCGGAGGAUGUUCCCGGCGGCGGCGGCGGCGGCCGGGGCAGCGCGGGCCAGAAGCGCGGCGCGCGGAGCCCUCGGCUGCCCGGCGGAGCGCGGCGGCGGGUGGACGGCCAGUGGUCGGGUCUGCGCUGCCCCGGGGGCUCUGAACGCGAGUUCUGGGCUUUGUCUCCCGCGCUACCUUCGUGCUGACGGUCAGGGGGCUCCGGGUCGGCGAAGGGCGCGGGCAGGACGCCGCGCGGCCCGGGCUCGGACGCGACGCUCGGAAGGGAAGGGGCGGACAAAAAAAGACCAAAUGGCAAAGCAACCUUCAGAUGUAAGUUCUGAGUGUGACAGAGAAGGUGGACAAUUGCAGCCUGCUGAGAGGCCUCCUCAGCUCAGGCCUGGGGCCCCUACCUCUCUACAGACAGAGCAGCAAGGUAAUCCUGAAGGCGAAGGGGACCGCUGCCCCCAAGGCAGCCCUCAGGGCCCGCUGGCCCCACCAGCCAGCCCCGGGCCUUUUGCUACCAGAUCCCCGCUUUUCAUCUUUGUCAGAAGAUCCUCCCUGCUGUCUCGAUCCUCCAGUGGGUAUUUCUCUUUUGACACAGACAGGAGCCCGGCACCCAUGAGUUGUGACAAAUCAACACAAACCCCAAGUCCUCCUUGCCAGGCCUUCAACCAUUAUCUCAGUGCAAUGGCUUCCAUGAGGCAGCCUCAGGCUGUACCCGCAGAUAUGCGCCCGGAGAUAUGGAUUGCACAAGAGUUGCGGCGUAUCGGAGACGAAUUUAAUGCAUAUUACCCAAGGAGGUUAGAGCAAUAGAGGAAGGUGUCCUGUAGUUGUCAUGUGUUCAGUCCACUUAAGGGCAGUGGGGAAGCCUGUGCCACGGAGCUGUGCAGUCUGAACCCUUGGAGGAGGUGAGAGAGGCACAGGUCUUUUUGAAUAAUUACCAAGCAGCCGAAGCCCAGCCCCAAAUGAUUAUCUUACGACUGUUACGUUACAUCGUCCGCCUGAUAUGGCGAUUGCAGUGACGACGGGUUCCUCGCGGAGCCACAUGUGUGCAGACAUUUCACGUGUUCACGCCAGCAGGCCCCAGCACCACAAUUUCUGGGGGCCACUGCUGUGCUGCCAGCGGCUCUGUCCCCAACGGGGCAUGCGGGCAGGCCGGCCAACGCGUUCCCGAGGACGCCGCGCCGCAUGUGGACCGGACCUUUCUGUUCACCACACGGCAGAAUUUCUAAUGGAAGUUUGUUGUGAAUGUAAAUGAGGGAGGAUUCUUUAAAAAAAAAAAAAAAAAAAAUAUAUAUAUAUAUAUAUAUAUAUAUAUAUGUACAAAUCAUGGUUCUUUGGAGCAGGAUUUUAUGCAAGAAUGGUGUUUACACGCGGUGUGGGUUUUUUUUCCACCUUCUUUAAUAAGAGCAGGUUUUUCAAAAAGGAAAUGGAAACUUUUUAACCAACUCGUGAAUGAUUUUUGUACUAAAAUUUUAAGAACCUGUUGCCUACUCUCAGAGGAUUAUGUAAACUCUGCAGUGGAAACUGAGCCAGCUAAUUUAUAAAGCUGCCUUAGUUUCUUUUUAGAGAUUACUGUACAGAAUUUUUAAACGGGAGAGGUAUGAUAUGGCCCCCUCCCUUCCCUGCCAUUGCCUCUUUGACAUACUUUGUUGUUUUGGUUUUGUUUUUUGUUUUGUUUUUGUUUUUUUUACCAUUAUUAUUAAUACCAAAAAGUUCUUAUGAAAUGGAACUGAUUAAAGGGGCAGAGGGUCUGUUACCAGCCUGUAUUGAUAUGCCACUCCCAUCUUGUAAAUAUUUACUUACCUCCUCAAAUUCAAUUGCACCUGUGGCAAAAAGUUUAAGACUCUUCUCCGUGUGUUUUUCCUUAUCUCCCCUGGCGACGCUCUUCUGGUCUGCCUGGACGGCGAUGCGCAGAUUUGGUCCAGCGCGUGCUCAUGAUAAAAGGUAAUGGGGUCAGGACAUGAGUUAGGUUCUGCCUGUAUCAUACACGCUGGGACGGGCUUGAUGUUGGUCUUCUUUGGUUUCAAUGGGCUCAUCGUUUAGAAGUGUCCUGAGGGAGGACUGGCAGUAACAGCACAGACAGGCACCGUCGGCUUUUCUGGUUGCAGACUUUCCCAUAGUCACAGGUGCACUGUCUGCGCGCGGCCACAGGUGGUGAGCACGCCCCCUCACAGCUGAGUUCCUUGGACUGCAGGUGUCCGAGCCCCGGCCCUCGUGGGAGUUGGCACAGGCCAUGGGGCUUGAGGCGGCUGUUUCCUGGGCAUCCGGGCUUUUCGUCCAACUCCCAAGUUCGUCUGGCCUUUGAUGCCUGACGCUUGGUUCCCACCCCUCUGAAUCCAUUUUGAUAUGAAGGCUUAAUCCCGCCUUCGGCAGUGCCAUCAAAAAUCCUCCGUCGGAGCACAAAUCUGAAGCGGCCUCUCAGCCUCCUGACAGCUGUCGGUUUGACUUGUUCCAUUUCCCUCAGAACGGUUGGGUUUUGUGGGACCGCCCUGCGUGCGUCCACCUCUGUUGGGGCUGCUCUUUCUUUUUCCCCCUUUCUGGGACAGAGAGCCCGUGAGUUGGGCCAUCAUCUCAAAGGCAGUUAACUGGGGAGACCCAAGAAAAAGAUCAGGAAGCAGGAAAAGAAGGGAGGUGGAGAUCAUUUCGUGAACCCUAUAACUCUGACAGUCUUUGAAACCUCAGACCAUUAAACAGCUUUUUAAGAGAAAUACAUCAAACCGAGUCAGCACCAACAACUCUUGUUUUGCUGUUGGCCCCUAAGAGGACCAGUGUUUUCACAUUAUUAAAUUAAGUGGGGAAAUUCAUUCAUUUGUAUCUUCAUAAUUCUAUAUAAAUAUAUAUAUAUAUAUAUAUGUAUCUAUAGCAUAUACAUUUUUUUCUUUUAGGUAGAGAGAUUUGCUUCCAAAUAUCCUUCCUUUUUUAGAAUUUUCGUUUCCCCCAAACUCUCCUUGGGGUCUUGAAUAGUUUUUAAAGCUGUGUUGAGGGUCAGCUUGCGUUUUCGAUGUGUCUCGAACUCCUUUGUAGGGUCGUAAAGCCCACACGGUUGUAAGGCAACGGUGGGCCUGCUGGACACACACACACCAAAGACGUAUUCGGUUCUGGACGCCUCGCCCCGACCCAGGACCUCCAUACUCAGUGCCGGUCUCUCCAACUGGGGCACUUUACUCUGUUUCUGCAAUACUGCGGCUCCCUGGGAGCGGGGCCCGAGGGCUGUGUGCUGGCCACAUGUACAGGUUUACCUCUGGCUCGGUGGCCUCCUGGCCUCUAGGCCGGCCGCGGAAGCAGCUCGUGAGGAGAUAGGAGAUUCUAUGAAUUGUAGUAUUAAGGAGCAGGAUAUCGCACCAGGACUCAAGAGAGAUGACUGGACGUUUCUGUACUGUAUGCGUCUGUUUAUCAAGAUGCCUCUGGAAGGUAUGCCUACUGUGGUAGACCUUGUAUUUUCUCUGUCUUUUACUUUUUGUAGAAAACAUAACGUGGCUAGAUCCCUUUUUGGAAACUGAAUGCGGGUUUUGUGCCUUGACCACCUCUUCUCACGUGAGGUUUGUAGAAAGUGUCCUGUGACUUAGCACAGAAAUGCAAUAAACACAUACAAAAUACUCUCAUGAGUAAUGCUUCCAGUUAACUGUGCUCCUGCCUAGAAGGGAGUUUACGAAGAACUCUUUUGGGUGGUUGUGGAGAAACCAGGUAAAAAUUCCGUCUGAUGGAAGUGUACGCAGUAGAGAACAACUUUCUCCUGUUUUCCCCUUCUUAAUAAUGUAUAUAUUUUGACUAUUUAUUAGAUUAGGAGGUCACAUUUUACUUACCAACUGAGCCAAAUGUCUGUGUGCAAUUGUGUUUCCUUUACCUUUCUUGUAAAAUUUUGUACAGCAUAAAUGAGUAAAAAUCACUGUUUUUACUAAACUUUUUCAGAAUUGAGGAUUGUAAAUAUUGUAGAUUCUUUUUCUGUGUAAUGUGUCCUACUGUUUCAUAAUGCUGUAACUUGUAGAAAUAUUGUAUAUUUAUUUCCUGCUUAUUUAAUGUCUUAAGUUUUGAAAAGUGUUGACCUCCCUGCCCCCCCCCCACCCCCCUGCUGUACCAUUAAUCGCUUUUUGACUCUGACGUGGUGACCGCUCAGCUCCCUGAGCCACACGGUCUUCCCAGGCUGGCCCUCCAGCUUUGGUUCCUGUAGUUUCUGGUCACAUGGGUUUCAGUUCUUGGGGUUUGCUCUACUUUUGAUGAAGUCUGUGCGUCGCCAUCAAUGAGGGACCAUUUGGCAGGUUACCAAAUUCUACAAGAAAUAUCCAGUGACUUUUUAUUCCAAAAGAGCGAGCUUCUCAUGGAAGCAAAUUCUAUUAACACCAGACCGUAUCUUUUUUUUUUUUUUUUUUUAAUGUAUCAUUGGCAGUUGGGACAGAUCUUUCCAUUGAACACUUACCCCUGACAAUUCAGCGUUCAGAGAAAUAGAAGCGUGCCCGCUCUGGAGGUACUGCCAUGGAGUGAGUGGUUCAGGGGCAGGAGGAAGGGACAGGGGAGACAGGUGGCUCCUGCCUCGGGAGUGACUUCAGGACCACCUCAUUGCCACUAAUCCCUUUUUGGCAACUGGUGAGUAGUUGAAUUACCCCCCGCCCGCUGUGUCCUGUGCUUUGAGGUGUGGACUAAAUGGUCUUCAGGAGCUAAUUGUACAGACCCUACCCCCGUCCCCAGCCCUGAGCCGUUUGGUCCCUACGUUUGAUCAGCCUGCUUCUUCAGGUGGUCGUCUUCUGCUUCUCUGUUGCCUUUGAGAGAGGUUGAGGGUCCCACUAGACUGGAUGUUAAGAUGUAAAAGCUUCUUGGAAGCUUUAGAGACUUCCUAGUGGAUCCGUGUCAGUAGAUGGUCCUGUCAUCCCUGCUGAUUUAGCCUGGUGCCUGUGUGUGCCCACUCUGCACACACGUGACGCUAAGCCAGCUGAGGUGACUCCUGUUCUCCAAACGGCAUUGCAUUUGAGAAGCGUUCCUCAAGCUCCCAGCUAGGUAACUUGACUACUUUCAUCCGGAAACCUGACUUUAGAAACUCUCCUAAGUCGUAUGUCCAGAUUCUGUGACCACUAGUUACUGUAUCAGAACUCAUCAGGUACACAUUUAUAAAUAGCACUGAUCUGUCUGUAUACUGACCCAUCACUAACUUGUUUCCUAGGACCCAGCGUAUGUAGCAUUUGUAUUGCAAUUUCCCUGGCUUACUUGUGUUUUGCACUGAUGAAUUUCGACAGGGUAAUUGCCACUUUACUUGUGCAAUACUGCUGUAAAUAACUGCAGAUUUUUUUUUUUUAAGAAACUUAAUCUUUUAUGUUCUUAAUGAAGUUUAUACAAAUAAAACUUUCAACUAGU